rnacentral:rRNA from 1 species
CGAGUGGCGGACGGGUGAGUAAUGUCUGGGAAACUGCCUGAUGGAGGGGGAUAACUACUGGAAACGGUAGCUAAUACCGCAUAACGUCGCAAGACCAAAGAGGGGGACCUUCGGGCCUCUUGCCAUCGGAUGUGCCCAGAUGGGAUUAGCUAGUAGGUGGGGUAACGGCUCACCUAGGCGACGAUCCCUAGCUGGUCUGAGAGGAUGACCAGCCACACUGGAACUGAGACACGGUCCAGACUCCUACGGGAGGCAGCAGUGGGGAAUAUUGCACAAUGGGCGCAAGCCUGAUGCAGCCAUGCCGCGUGUAUGAAGAAGGCCUUCGGGUUGUAAAGUACUUUCAGCGGGGAGGAAGGCGUUAAGGUUAAUAACCUUGUCGAUUGACGUUACCCGCAGAAGAAGCACCGGCUAACUCCGUGCCAGCAGCCGCGGUAAUACGGAGGGUGCAAGCGUUAAUCGGAAUUACUGGGCGUAAAGCGCACGCAGGCGGUCUGUCAAGUCGGAUGUGAAAUCCCCGGGCUCAACCUGGGAACUGCAUUCGAAACUGGCAGGCUAGAGUCUUGUAGAGGGGGGUAGAAUUCCAGGUGUAACGGUGAAAUGCGUAGAGAUCUGG